UACGUAGGGUGCGAGCGUUAAUCGGAAUUACUGGGCGUAAAGCGUGCGCAGGCGGUCUGUUAAGUCCGAUGUGAAAUCCCCGGGCUUAACCUGGGAACUGCAUUGGUGACUGGCAGGCUUUGAGUGUGGCAGAGGGAGGUAGAAUUCCACGUGUAGCAGUGAAAUGCGUAGAGAUGUGGAGGAAUACCGAUGGCGAAGGCAGCCGCCUGGGCCAGCACUGACGCUGAUGCACGAAAGCGUGGGGAGCAAACAGG
rnacentral:rRNA from 1 species